rnacentral:siRNA from 1 species
UGGUCGAUUAAGACAGCAGGAC